rnacentral:rRNA from 1 species
AACGAACGCUGGCGGCAGGCUUAACACAUGCAAGUCGAACGCCCCGCAAGGGGAGUGGCAGACGGGUGAGUAACGCGUGGGAAUCUACCUAGUUCUACGGAACAACACAGGGAAACUUGUGCUAAUACCGUAUACGCACUACGGGGGAGAGAUUUAGCGGAAUUAGAUGAGCCCGCGUUGGAUUAGCUAGUUGGUGGGGUAAUGGCCUACCAAGGCGACGAUCCAUAGCUGGUCUGAGAGGAUGAUCAGCCACACUGGGACUGAGACCACGGCCCAGACUCCUACGGGAGGCAGCAGUGGGGAAUAUUGGACAAUGGGCGAAAGCCUGAUCCAGCCAUGCCGCGUGAGUGAUGAAGGCCUUAGGGUUGUAAAGCUCUUUCAGUAGGGAAGAUAAUGACGGUACCUACAGAAGAAGCCCCGGCUAACUUCGUGCCAGCCGCCGCGGUAAGAC